rnacentral:tRNA from 2 species
UGGUCUCUUAGUUAAAUUGGAUAUAACUACUGCCUCCUAAGCAGUGAUUGCCAGUUCGAUUCUGGCAGGGGCCAUC